rnacentral:rRNA from 1 species
GUGAGUAACACGUAGGUGAUCUACCUUGAGGCCUGGGAUAGCCUGUGGAAACACAGGGUAAGACCGGAUGGGCCCCUGUACUUGCGGGUAGAGGGGGAAAGGUGCUAUGGCACCGCCUUAAGAUGAGCCUGCGUCCCAUUAGUUAGUUGGUGGGGUAAAGGCCUACCAAGGCGACGAUGGGUAGCCGGCCUGAGAGGGUGAUCGGCCACACUGGGACUGAGACACGGCCCAGACUCCUACGGGAGGCAGCAGCUAAGAAUCUUCCGCAAUGGACGAAAGUCUGACGGAGCGACGCCGCGUGAACGAAGAAGGCCGGAAGGUUGUAAAGUUCUUUUGCGGGUGAAGAAUAAGGCGAGGAGGGAAUGCCUCGCUGAUGACGUUAGCCUGUGAAUAAGCCCCGGCUAAUUACGUGCCAGCAGCCGCGGUAACACGUAAGGGGCGAGCGUUGUUCGGAAUUAUUGGGCGUAAAGGGCGUGUAGGCUGUUUUGUAAGCCUGGUGUGAAAGUGCACGGCUUAACUGUGUAUGUGCGCUGGGAACUGCAAGACUAGAGUCCGGAAGGGGGAGGUAGAAUUCCUGGUGUAGGGGUGAAAUCUGUAGAUAUCAGGAAGAAUACCGGUGGCGAAGGCGACCUCCUGGUCCUGGACUGACGCUGAGGCGCGAAAGCGUGGGGAGCGAACAGGAUUAGAUACCCUGGUAGUCCACGCUGUAAUCGAUGUGCACUAGGUGUUGGGGCAAGAGCUUCAGUGCCGAAGUGAACGCGAUAAGUGCACCGCCUGGGGAGUAUGCUCGCAAGGGUGAAACUCAAAGGAAUUGACGGGGGCCCGCACAAGCGGUGGAGCAUGUGGUUUAAUUCGAUGAUAUGCGAGGAACCUUACCAGGGCUUGACAUAUACCGGGAGCCGUGAGAGAUCACGGUGCCCCUUUUGGGCCGGUAUACAGGUGCUGCAUGGCUGUCGUCAGCUGGUGGUUUGAAGUGUUGGGUUAAGUCCCGCAACGAGCGCAACCCCUACUGUCUGUUGCCAACAGGUGAAGCUGGGGACUCAGACGGAACUGCCGGUGACAAUCCGGAGGAAGGUGGGGUCGACGUCAAGUCAUCAUGGCCCUUAUGUCCUGGGCUACACACGUGUUACAAUGGCCGGUAUCAGAGUGAGGCGAAACUCGCGAGGGUGGAGCAAAUCACAGAAAACCGGUCUCAGUUCGGAU